rnacentral:tRNA from 2 species
GGAACUAUAGCUCAGUGGGAGAGCAUUUGCUUGACGUGCAAAGGGUCGGGGGUUCAAGUCCCUCUAGUUCCACCA